AGCAUUCAAUCACGUUAAUUUCUUCUUGAAAAAGACAUGUAAACGAAUAAAACACUUUAUAGACAGUUUGUGAAGGAAAAUGAAGUUAUCCUGUUGUGUUUUGAUUUUAAUUCAGCUGGUCUCACUGAUCAGCGGCCAGAUGUAUAGUAGGCGAUUUUAUCAGGAAGGGUUCCAAUCUGCUGGAUACAACCCAUUUCCUUUCGGUGGACAUCCGUUUGUAGGCAGAGGUGGUCACGGCGGAUACGAUGGGGGACACGCCCAUACACAUGUCCACUACCAUGGUGGAGGAUUUGGUGGAGGGUUUGGAGGAGGCGGAUUAAGAAUUAGAUCCAGAGACGUUGGUGCAGGUGCCGUUGGGUUCAUCCUUGGGACAUUACUUAACAAAAACAAGAAAUAAGGACAACCACGUGUGAAGAAUCGUGAAGAUGACAAUAUUUCAAAGUGCCAAAAUCGUGAACAGACAUGCGUGGAACAGACUAGUGUCUGUAAACAUUAUUUAAGCAGUAAUAAAUACAAAGCAUUUUUA